rnacentral:tRNA from 1 species
UUUGAAGAAAAAAGAAGCUUCUAAUUUCUAUUAAAAUCUUCUUU